GAGUUUGAUCAUGGCUCAGGAUGAACGCUAGCGGCAGGCCUAACACAUGCAAGUCGAGCGCACCCCUUCGGGGGCGAGCGGCGGACGGGUUAGUAACGCGUGGGAACAUACCCUUCUCUAAGGAAUAGCCUCGGGAAACUGAGAGUAAUACCUUAUACGCCCUUCGGGGGAAAGAUUUAUCGGAGAAGGAUUGGCCCGCGUAAGAUUAGAUAGUUGGUGGGGUAACGGCCUACCAAGUCUACGAUCUUUAGCUGGUUUUAGAGGAUGAUCAGCAACACUGGAACUGAGACACGGUCCAGACUCCUACGGGAGGCAGCAGUGGGGAAUCUUGGACAAUGGGCGCAAGCCUGAUCCAGCCAUGCCGCGUGUGUGAUGAAGGCCUUAGGGUCGUAAAGCACUUUCGCUAGGGAUGAUAAUGACAGUACCUAGUAAAGAAGUCCCGGCUAACUCCGUGCCAGCAGCCGCGGUAAUACGGAGGGGACUAGCGUUGUUCGGAAUUACUGGGCGUAAAGCGUACGUAGGCGGAUCAGAAAGUAUGGGGUGAAACCCCAGGGCUCAACCCUGGAACUGCCUCAUAAACUCCUGGUCUUGAGUUCGAGAGAGGUGAGUGGAAUUCCGAGUGUAGAGGUGAAAUUCGUAGAUAUUCGGAGGAACACCAGUGGCGAAGGCGGCUCACUGGCUCGAUACUGACGCUGAGGUACGAAAGUGUGGGGAGCAAACAGGAUUAGAUACCCUGGUAGUCCACACCGUAAACGAUGAAUGCCAGUCGUCGGGUAGCAUGCUAUUCGGUGACACACCUAACGGAUUAAGCAUUCCGCCUGGGGAG
rnacentral:rRNA from 1 species